GUCAGUGUUGCUCAGUGGUUAAGAGCAUUGGCUAGUGCACCAGAGUUGUGGGUUCGAUUCCCAGUCAAGGGCA
rnacentral:tRNA from 1 species